UAUAUUGAAUGGCAUCAUUCGAUAUUGAAAACUCCGGUGGAUAGAGAUGGGCACGCGCAAGAUUAGAUAGUUGGUGAGGUAACGGCUCACCAAGUCUGCGAUCUUUAGGGGGCCUGAGAGGGUGAUCCCCCACACUGGUACUGAGACACGGACCAGACUCCUACGGGAGGCAGCAGUGAGGAAUAUUGGACAAUGGGUGAGAGCCUGAUCCAGCCAUCCCGCGUGAAGGACGACGGCCCUAUGGGUUGUAAACUUCUUUUGUAUAGGGAUAAACCUAGAUACGUGUAUCUAGCUGAAGGUACUAUACGAAUAAGCACCGGCUAACUCCGUGCCAGCAGCCGCGGUAAUACGGAGGGUGCAAGCGUUAUCCGGAUUUAUUGGGUUUAAAGGGUCCGUAGGCGGAUCUGUAAGUCAGUGGUGAAAUCUCACAGCUUAACUGUGAAACUGCCAUUGAUACUGCAGGUCUUGAGUGUUGUUGAAGUAGCUGGAAUAAGUAGUGUAGCGGUGAAAUGCAUAGAUAUUACUUAGAACACCAAUUGCGAAGGCAGGUUACUAAGCAACAACUGACGSKGAUGGACGAAAGCGUGGGGAGCGAACAGGAUUAGAUACCCUGGGUAGUCCACGCCGUAAACGAUGCUAACUCGUUUUUGGGAUUUAGGUUUCAGAGACUAAGCGGAAAGUGAUAAGUUAGCCACCUGGGGGAGUACGUUCGCAAGAAUGAAACUCAAAGGAAUUGACGGGGGGCCCGCACAAGCGGUGGAUUAUGUGGUUUAAUUCGAUGAUACGCGAGGAACCUUACCAAGGCUUAAAUGGGAAAUGACAGGUUUAGAAAUAGACUUUUCUUCGGACAUUUUUCAAGGUGCUGCAUGGUUGUCGUCAGCUCGUGCCGUGAGGUGUUAGGUUAAGUCCUGCAACGAGCGCAACCCCUGUCACUAGUUGCCAUCAUUAAGUUGGGGACUCUAGUGAGACUGCCUACGCAAGUAGAGAGGAAGGUGGGGAUGACGUCAAAUCAUCACGGCCCUUACGCCUUGGGCCACACACGUAAUACAAUGGCCAGUACAGAGGGCAGCUACACAGCGAUGUGAUGCAAAUCUCGAAAGCUGGUCUCAGUUCGGAUUGGAGUCUGCAA
rnacentral:rRNA from 1 species